rnacentral:rRNA from 1 species
CUAACGCGUUAAGUCGACCGCCUGGGGAGUACGGCCGCAAGGUUAAAACUCAAAUGAAUUGACGGGGGCCCGCACAAGCGGUGGAGCAUGUGGUUUAAUUCGAUGCAACGCGAAGAACCUUACCUACUCUUGACAUCCAGCGAACUUUCCAGAGAUGGAUUGGUGCCUUCGGGAACGCUGAGACAGGUGCUGCAUGGCUGUCGUCAGCUCGUGUUGUGAAAUGUUGGGUUAAGUCCCGCAACGAGCGCAACCCUUAUCCUUUGUUGCCAGCGAUUCGGUCGGGAACUCAAAGGAGACUGCCGGUGAUAAACCGGAGGAAGGUGGGGAUGACGUCAAGUCAUCAUGGCCCUUACGAGUAGGGCUACACACGUGCUACAAUGGCGCAUACAAAGAGAAGCGACCUCGCGAGAGCAAGCGGACCUCACAAAGUGCGUCGUAGUCCGGAUCGGAGUCU